rnacentral:lncRNA from 1 species
AUAUAUAUAUAUAUAUAUAUAUAUAUAUAUAUAUAUAAUGUUUUGGUUCUUGCUAUGAACCUUACACACCAUUCAUAAAAGUAGUGAUUCGUUAUUGUAGUAAAAUAAAUAGCUGAAAACAACAAUCUUUAGAAAUUGAUGCACCUGAUAACAAUGAUAUUAGUGAUUAUGAUAAAAAUAAUGAUAACAGUAAUGAUAAUGAUAAUAAUAACAGUAAUAGCGAUAAUAAUUACAAUAACUAGAAUUACUACUAUUAGGAAUAUUUGUAAUAUCAUGAAGCAUAUAUACAAACACAAACACACGCACACACACACAUACACACACACACACACACACACACACACGACAUAAACACUCACACGCAUAUAUACAAACAAACACACACACACACACACACAACACACAAACACUCACACGCAUAAAUACAAAACACAAAAACACGCACACACACACAUACAUCACACAAAUUUAUGCGUGUGAUAUAACUCGGCAUCCUGUGCAUGCGGUGACUGGACAAGUGCUAGGAGAAAUACAAUUCCUCGGAUGCGAUGACUGCAGACGAGGCAGCGCAGGCACUCGAGAUGACUUUACAGCAGAUGUGCCAGGAGUGAUUUCCGGAGAAGAGGCCCUGUGGCAGGAAGGAUAACAAACCAUGGAUCUUAGCGAGGAUUUUGAAAAUGAUGGAUAAAAAGGCGACGUGUGUACAUUGCUGGGAACAUGGUACAAGGGAGAGAAUUAUACGUUGUAGUGAUACGAGAUAAAUGUAUAAAUAUAGAUAUAAAUAAAUAUAAAUAAAGAUAAAAGGGAUGAACGUAAA